rnacentral:rRNA from 1 species
GACGAACGCUGGCGGCGUGCUUAACACAUGCAAGUCGAACGGAAAGGCCCUGCUUUUGUGGGGUGCUCGAGUGGCGAACGGGUGAGUAACACGUGAGUAACCUGCCCUUGACUUUGGGAUAACUUCAGGAAACUGGGGCUAAUACCGGAUAGGAGCUCCUGCUGCAUGGUGGGGGUUGGAAAGUUUCGGCGGUUGGGGAUGGACUCGCGGCUUAUCAGCCUGUUGGUGGGGUAGUGGCUUACCAAGGCUUUGACGGGUAGCCGGCCUGAGAGGGUGACCGGCCACAUUGGGACUGAGAUACGGCCCAGACUCCUACGGGAGGCAGCAGUGGGGAAUAUUGCUCAAUGGGCGGAAGCCUGAUGCAGCAACGCCGCGUGCGGGAUGACGGCCUUCGGGUUGUAAACCGCUUUCGCCUGUGACGAAGCGUGAGUGACGGUAAUGGGUAAAGAAGCACCGGCUAACUACGUG